AGAAACAUACACAGGAAGAACACCACGUGAAGACAAAGGAGAUUGGAGUGAAUCUCCUACAAGCCAAGGAACACCAAAGAUCGAUAGAAAACCACCAAAAGUCGGAGAGAGGCAUGCAACAGACCGUCCCCUCACAGCCCUCAGCAGGAACCAACCCUACUGAUACUUUGAUUUUGGACUUCCUGCCUCCAGGACUGUGAGACUUCUGUUGUUUAGGCCACCCGCUAUGGCAACACCCAAGACUAUGGGAAGGUUGGAAGACGUAGUUCCACAUCUGCUUCUGCUUAGGCCUCCCAGUGGUGGUCAGAGCAGGAAGAUAUCUCGGAGUGAUAGAGAGAAGCCACAAGCUCUGAGCAGCGACCAGGCCAGAAGCUGCCCCAGGGCAACCGCAUGUGAUUUCAGCAAGGGUCAGGCAGUAAGUUGGUACAGAGUGAGGAGAAGUCCGGAUCUCCCGUAUGGCCUGAUGUGAUGCUCGACCCACUAUAGAACUGGAGUCUCCCACCUGCUCAGCCCAGAUUGUUCUCGGUCCUCAAAUCACAUUUCUUUUCUUGUCCCUUCUGCAUACACCUCUCUGCUUCCCAGAAUAGGAAAGACUAGAACGGGUGUGCUGACCAAGAGAAGGAAAGACAGGGUGGAAAGGACAAGACAGAAAGUGUCCUGGAGAAGGUGAAGGGGA